AAUGAUAUCACUCCGACAGGACAUCAAGAAUGAGCCUCUUCAGCUGUCCAGCUACACAUUGCGAGUAUUUGCUUACGAUACUGCACGCCCUACCCGCCGAGGAUCCUCCAGCGUUCUUCUUAGCCUGGUGCGAGAUCCCAAUGCACCACACUUCAUUCCAACUGAUCAGUAUGAAACAGCUGUGGAUGUGAACACGCCAAUUGGGGAUAGGAUUGAAAACACCACUGCAAUUGAUCUUGAUGGAGACACAGUGACAUAUCGUGUGGUAACUGCCUUCACCAACACUCUGAAGUACUUCUAUCUUGACCCUGACACUGGGGAUAUCCAUGUCCGUGCUCCACUCACAUCAGCACCUGGGAAUUUC